rnacentral:rRNA from 1 species
UUGACCUCGAAUCAGGUAGGAAUACCCGCUGAACUUAAGCAUAUCAAUAAGCGGAGGAAAAGAAACCAACCGGGAUUACCUCAGUAACGGCGAGUGAAGCGGUAACAGCUCAAAUUUGAAAUCUGGCUCCUUCGGAGUCCGAGUUGUAAUUUGUAGAAGAUGCUUUGGGUUGUGGGCUCGGCCUAAGUUCCUUGGAACAGGACGUCAUAGAGGGUGAGAAUCCCGUAUGUGGCCAUGGCCCGCGCCUAUGUAAAGCUCUUUCAACGAGUCGAGUUGUUUGGGAAUGCAGCUCAAAAUGGGUGGUAAAUUUCAUCUAAAGCUAAAUAUGGGCCAGAGACCGAUAGCGCACAAGUAGAGUGAUCGAAAGAUGAAAAGCACUUUGGAAAGAGAGUUAAACAGUACGUGAAAUUGUUGAAAGGGAAGCGCUUGCAACCAGACUUGGGCGCUGCCGAUCACCCCGAGUUCUCUCGGGUGCACUCGACAGCGCACAGGCCAGCAUCGGUUCGGGUGGCUGGAUAAAGGCCGUAGGAACGUAGCUCCCUUCGGGGAGUGUUAUAGCCCACGGUGCCAUGCAGCCCAGCCGGACCGAGGACCGCGCCUUCGGGCUAGGAUGCUGGCGUAAUGGUUGUAAGCGACCCGUCUUGAAACACGGACCAAGGAGUCUAACAUCUAUGCGAGUGUUUGGGCGUUAAACCCAUACGCGGAAUGAAAGUGAACGUAGGUGAGAACCCCUUUGGGGCGCAUCAUCGACCGAUCCUGAUGUCUUCGGAUGGAUUUGAGUAAGAGCAUAGC